GACGAACGCUGGCGGCGUGCCUAAUACAUGCAAGUCGAGCGCGGGAAGCAAACUGAAGUCUUCGGACGGACGUUUGUGGAACGAGCGGCGGAUGGGUGAGUAACACGUGGGCAACCUGCCUGUAAGCUUGGGAUAACUCGCGGAAACGCGUGCUAAUACCAAAUAAAGUCCACUACCUCAUGGUAGUGGAAUGAAAGGCGGCUUCGGCUGUCACUUACAGAUGGGCCCGUGGCGCAUUAGCUAGUUGGUGGGAUAAAAGCUCACCAAGGCAACGAUGCGUAGCCGACCUGAGAGGGUGAUCGGCCACACUGGGACUGAGACACGGCCCAGACUCCUACGGGAGGCAGCAGUAGGGAAUCUUCCGCAAUGGACGAAAGUCUGACGGAGCAACGCCGCGUGAGUGAUGAAGGUCUUCGGAUCGUAAAACUCUGUUGUUAGGGAAGAACAAGUACCGUUCGAAUAGGUCGGUACCUUGACGGUACCUAACCAGAAAGCCCCGGCUAACUACGUGC
rnacentral:rRNA from 1 species